UUCUAUUUGACAUAAAAGAGUUGACAUU
rnacentral:piRNA from 1 species